rnacentral:misc_RNA from 1 species
UCCGGUUUGUCACCGGCAGUCUCCUAUGAGUCCCCAACUAAAUGCUGGCAACAUAGAACAGGGGUUGCGCUCGCUGCGGGACUUAACCCAACAUCUCACGACACGAGCUGACGACAACCAUGCACCACCUGUAAACCGGCCGCAAGCGGGGCACCUGUCUCCAGGCGUUUCCGGUUCAUGUCAAGCCUUGGUAAGGUUCUUCGCGUUGCAUCGAAUUAAUCCGCAUGCUCCGCCGCUUGUGCGGGCCCCCGUCAAUUCCUUUGAGUUUUAGCCUUGCGGCCGUACUCCCCAGGCGGGGCGCUUAAUGCGUUAGCUACGGCACGGACAACGUGGAUGUCGCCCACACCUAGCGCCCAACGUUUACAGCGUGGACUAC